AACGAACGCUGGCGGCAGGCGUAACACAUGCAAGUCGAGCGCCCCGCAAGGGGAGCGGCAGACGGGUGAGUAACGCGUGGGAAUCUACCCAUCUCUACGGAAUAACGCAUGGAAACGUGUGCUAAUACCGUAUACGUCCUUCGGGAGAAAGAUUUAUCGGAGAUGGAUGAGCCCGCGUUGGAUUAGCUAGUUGGUUGGGUAAAGGCCUACCAAGGCGACGAUCAAUAGCUGGUCUGAGAGGAUGAUCAGCCACACUGGGACUGAGACAUGGCCCAGACUCCUACGGGAGGCAGCAGUGGGGAAUAUUGGACAAUGGGCGCAAGCCUGAUCCAGCCAGGCCGCGUGAGUGAUGAAGGCCCUAGGAUUGUAAAGCUCUUUCACCGGUGAAGAUAAUGACGGUAACCAGAGAAGGAGCCCCGGCUAACUUCGUGCCAGCCGCCGCCGUAACAC
rnacentral:rRNA from 1 species